rnacentral:rRNA from 1 species
UACGUAGGGGGCUAGCGUUGUCCGGAAUCAUUGGGCGUAAAGCGCGCGUAGGCGGCCCGGUAAGUCCGCUGUGAAAGUCCAGGGCUCAACCCUGGAAAGCCGGUGGAUACUGUCGGGCUCGAGUCCGGAAGAGGCGAGUGGAACUCCUGGUGUAGCGGUGGAAUGCGCAGAUAUCAGGAAGAACACCAACGGCGAAGGCAGCUCGCUAGGACGGUACUGACGCUGAGACGCGAAAGCGUGGGGAGCGAACAGG